AUUGAACGCUGGCGGCAGGCUUAACACAUGCAAGUCGAGCGGGGUGAUGGUGCUUGCACUAUCACUUAGCGGCGGACGGGUGAGUAAUGCUUAGGAAUCUGCCUAUUAGUGGGGGACAACAUCUCGAAAGGGAUGCUAAUACCGCAUACGUCCUACGGGAGAAAGCAGGGGAUCACUUGUGACCUUGCGCUAAUAGAUGAGCCUAAGUCGGAUUAGCUAGUUGGUGGGGUAAAGGCCUACCAAGGCGACGAUCUGUAGCGGGUCUGAGAGGAUGAGCCGCCACACUGGGACUGAGACACGGCGCAGACUCCUACGGGAGGCAGCAGUGGGGAAUAUGGGACAAUGGGGGGAACCCUGAUCCAGCCAUGCCGCGUGUGUGAAGAAGGCCUUAUGGUUGUAAAGCACUUUAAGCGAGGAGGAGGCUCUUUUGGUUAAUACCCAAGAUGAGUGGACGUUACUCGCAGAAUAAGCACCGGCUAACUCUGUGCCAGCAGCCGCGGUAA
rnacentral:rRNA from 1 species